AUUGAACGCUGGCGGCAUGCUUUACACAUGCAAGUCGAACGGAAACAGGCCUUCGGGUGCUGACGAGUGGCGAACGGGUGGGUAAUGAACCGGAACGUAACCAGCGGUGGGGGAUAACGCAGCGAAAGCUGUGCUAAUACAGUAUGUGAUCUGAGGAUGAACGCGGGGGACCGAGCAGCAAUGUUUGGCCUCGCGCCUUUGGAGCCGCCGAUGUUGGAUUGGCUAGUUGGGGGGGUAAUGGCCUACCCGGUCGAGGAUCCGUAGCUGGACGGAGAGGACGGCCAGCCGCACUGGGACGGGGACACGGCCAAUGCGCCUGCGGGAGGCAGCAGUGUGGAAUGUUGGGCAAUGGGCGCGAGCCUUGUCCAACGAGGCCGAGUGUGAGAAGAAGGCCUUCUGGUUGUAAACCGCGUUUGGCAGGAACGAAACGGUGUCCGCUAAUACCAGGCGCGAAUGACGGUACCUGCAGAAGAAGCACCGGCUAACUACGUG
rnacentral:rRNA from 1 species